UACGAAGGGGGCUAGCGUUGCUCGGAAUCACUGGGCGUAAAGCGCACGUAGGCGGAUUCUUAAGUCAGGGGUGAAAUCCUGGAGCUCAACUCCAGAACUGCCUUUGAUACUGGGAGUCUUGAGUUCGGGAGAGGUGAGUGGAACUGCGAGUGUAGAGGUGAAAUUCGUAGAUAUUUCGCAAGAACACCAGUGGCGAAGGCGGCUCACUGGCCCGAUACUGACGCUGAGGUGCGAAAGCGUGGGGAGCAAACAGG
rnacentral:rRNA from 1 species